AAGUCGUAACAAGGUAACCGUAGGUGAACCUGCGGUUGGAUCAUUAACAAAUUUGAUUAGGCCCCCGGCUGCCCUUAAAAAGGCGAAGGGGAAAACCUAAACAUUUGUGUGCACCAUAUCUGUCUUUGGCAGUUCGAGUGUCCCGGGUUAGGUAACUCUCCCGGGUACCUACCAAAGCCCUUUCCUUCGGGAUUGGGCCGAGGUUGGGCUGCCGCCUUUUUGAACAAACCCUUUGCUUUUAUUUUUGCCUGAAUUUGUUUAAUCUGUAAAAGGAUUGAAUUUAAAUACAACUUUUGACAACGGAUCUCUUGGCUCUC
rnacentral:misc_RNA from 1 species